rnacentral:rRNA from 1 species
UCAAGCUAGAAAGAGCGCAAGGGGAAUGCCUUGGCAUCAGGAGCCGACGAAGGACGUGACAAGCUGCGAUAAGCUGCGGUGAGCUGCACAUAAGCUUUGACCCGCAGAUUUCCGAAUGGGGAAACCCGGCAGAGCAAUACUCUGUCAGCGUGCGUUGAAUCAAAUAGGCGUACGCGGGGAACCGCCUGAACUGAAACAUCUAAGUAGGGCGAGGAAGAGAAAUCAACCGAGAUUCCGCUAGUAGUGGCGAGCGAACGCGGAAGAGGCCAAACCGGAGGUAGCAAUAUUUCCGGGGUUAGGACUGCAACAUGUAACUUUAAUCUUUAACUGAAUGCUUUGGGAAGAGCAGCGAUACAGGGUGAUAGCCCCGUAAGUGAAAAGGAUUGAGUGCUAGCAGUAUCCAGAGUACCAGCGGACACGUGAAACCCGCUGGGAAGAUGGGGGGACCAUCCUCCAAGCCUAAAUACUACUCAGUGACCGAUAGUGGAGCAGUACCGUGAGGGAAAGGUGAAAAGUACCCCGGGAGGGGAGUGAAAAAGAACCUGAAACCUUGUGCCUACAAGCACCGAGAGUCCGUUAAAGGAUGAUCGGGUACUUUUUGUAGAACGGUCCGGCGAGUUAAUAUUUGCAGCGAGGUUAAGGAACUGGAGUUCCGGAGCCGCAGCGAGAGCGAGUCUGAAUAGGGCGUAUGAAGUUGCAGGUAUUAGACCCGAAACCGGGUGACCUAUCCAUGAGCAGGCUGAAGCGGUGGUAAGACACCGUGGAGGGCCGCACCCACGUCUGUUGAAAAAGCCGGGGAUGACUUGUGGAUAGCGGAGAAAUUCCAAUCGAACUCGGAGAUAGCUGGUUCUCCCCGAAAUAGCUUUAGGGCUAGCGUUAUUUUAGAUUACCGGAGGUAAAGCACUGAAUGGUCUAGGGGCCGCGAGGUUACCAAAGCCUAUCAAACUCUGAAUGCCGGAUAAUUGAUGAAUAGCAGUCAGACUGUGUGAGAUAAGUCUCAUAGUCAAAAGGGAAACAGCCCAGAUCUACAGCUAAGGUCCCAAAUGAACACUAAGUGGAAAAUGAUGUGAAACUGCGAAGACAACCAGGAUGUUGGCUUAGAAGCAGCCACUCAUUCAAAGAGUGCGUAAUAGCUCACUGGUCGAGUGGUUUUGCGCAGAAAAUGUAACGGGGCUAAGUGUUCAACCGAAGCUUAGGCAUUGCAGUAAUGCAUUGGGUAGGGGAGCGUCGUAUGCGGGGCGAAGUCAGAGCGGAAGCACUGGUGGACUGCAUACGAGUGAGAAUGCCGGAAUGAGUAGCGAGAAUUAUGUGAGAAUCAUAAUGGCCGAAAAUCUAAGGUUUCUUGGGGAAGGUUCGUCCGCCCAAGGUAAGCCGGGAGCUAAGGCGAGGCCGAAAGGCGUAGUCGAUGCACAUACGGUUGAAAUUCCGUAGCCACCGAAAGAUUUAAGUACAGGGACGCUUUAGAAGUGAUGUAGCCGGGCGAUGGUUGACCCGGUCGUAAGGGAUCGAAAAUGAGUAGAGAAGUCAUCAUGGAAAGAGACAAGAAAAGCUGUAUGAAUAUCUUAGGUGCCCGUACCGCAAACCGACACAGGUAGAUAGGAAGAAGAUUCUAAGGCCAACGGGAGAAGGGUUGUUAAGGAACUCGGCAAGUUGACCCCGUAACUUAGGGAUAAGGGGUGCUCAAGUGAUUGAGCCGCAGAGAAUAGGCCCAGGCGACUGUUUAGCAAAAACACAGGUCUCUGCUAAAUCGAAAGAUGACGUAUAGGGGCUGACACCUGCCCGGUGCCGGAAGGUUAAGAGGAGAUGUGAGAGCAUUGAAUUGAAGCCCCGGUAAACGGCGGCCGUAACUAUAACGGUCCUAAGGUAGCGAAAUUCCUUGUCAGGU